GAACGCUAGCUACAGGCUUAACACAUGCAAGUCGAGGGACCGGCGCACGGGUGCGUAACGCGUAUCGAACCUGCCCUUUACUCAGGGAUAGCCUUGCGAAAGUAAGAUUAAUACCUGAUAGUUAAAGUUGGUAAAGGAUGGCGAUGCGUCUGAUUAGGUAGUAGGCGGGGUAAUGGCCCACCUAGCCGACGAUCAGUAGGGGUUCUGAGAGGAAGGUCCCCCACAUUGGAACUGAGACACGGUCCAAACUCCUACGGGAGGCAGCAGUGAGGAAUAUUGGUCAAUGGACGAGAGUCUGAACCAGCCAAGUAGCGUGCAGGAUGACGGCCUCUGGGUUGUAAACUGCUUUUAGUUGGGAACAGGAGUGUACCAUCAGAAAAAGGACCGGCUAAUUCCGUGCCAGCAGCCGCGGUAAUACGGAAGGUCCAGGCGUUAUCCGGAUUUAUUGGGUUUAAAGGGAGCGUAGGCGGACGAUUAAGUCAGCUGUGAAAGUUUGCGGCUCAACCGUAAAAUUGCAGUUGAAACUGGUUGUCUUGAGUGCACGCAGGGAUGUUGGAAUUCAUGGUGUAGCGGUGAAAUGCUUAGAUAUCAUGAAGAACUCCGAUCGCGAAGGCAUAUGUCCGGAGUGACUGACGCUGAGGCUCGAAAGUGCGGGUAUCGAACAGGAUUAGAUACCCUGGUAGUCCGCACAGUAAACGAUGAAUACUCGCAGUAUGCGUGUAUGCUGCCAAGUGAAAACGUUAAGUAUUCCACCUGGGGAGUACGCCGGCAACGGUGAAACUCAAAGGAAUUGACGGGGGCCCGCACAAGCGGAGGAACAUGUGGUUUAAUUCGAUGAUACGCGAGGAACCUUACCCGGGCUUGAACUAUGGAGGUGCUGCAUGGUUGUCGUCAGCUCGUGCCGUGAGGUGUCGGCUUAAGUGCCAUAACGAGCGCAACCCUUCUCCACGUUUGCCAUCAGCUGGGCACUCCGUGGAUACUGCCAUCGUAAGAUGGAGGAAGGUGGGGAUGACGUCAAAUCAGCACGGCCCUUACGUCCGGGGCUACACACGUGUUACAAUGGCCGGCAGAGGGAAGCCACCAGGCGACUGGGCGCUGAUCCAUUCCGGUCUCAGUUCGGAUGGAGUCUGCAACCCGACUCCAGAAGCUGGAUUCGCUAGUAAUCGCGCAUCAGCCAUGGCGCGGUGAAUACGUUCCCGGGCCUUGUACACACCGCCCGUCAAGCCAUGAAAGCCGGGGGUGCCUGAAAGCUGUGGCGGCCUAGGGUAAAACCGGUGAUUGGGGCUAAGUCGUAACAAGGUA
rnacentral:rRNA from 3 species